UUUAGAGUAAAAUACUAAAAUAGAUGGAAUCGAAGGCUUAUGAAUCUGACGUGGAACAAGAAGAAAGCGUAUCUGCCACGUGGCACAAUACAACACCUCAACAGCCUUAUCUGGACAUCAACAGAGAGAUCCUCCAAUAUCCGAAACCAACCAAUCAGCUUCACUCUUGGUUUCACCUCCAUACAUUAACACACCAACAAUCCUCAAAAAACACUUUCAUAACUUAAUCACACACAAGGAGAGAAGAGAGAAAGAGAGAAAGAGAGACAGAGAUAAUGGCGUACAGUGCGUGUUUCCUACACCAGAGCGCAUUGGCUUCAUCAGCCGCACGAUCAUCAUCUUCCUCCUCAUCCCAGCGUCACGUGUCGCUCUCCAAACCUGUUC
rnacentral:lncRNA from 1 species